UACAGAGGGGGCAAGCGUUGUCCGGACUUACUGGGUGUAAAGCGCAUGCAGGUGGCCUGGCAAGUAUGCUGUGAAAGCCCCGUGCUUAACACGGGGAGGCCAGUAUAGACUGCCAAGCUCGAGGCCAGUAGGGGGACGCGGAAUUCCGGGUGUAGUGGUGGAAUGCGUAGAGAUCCGGAGGAACACCAGCGGCGAAGGCGGCGUCCUGGACUGGUACUGACGCUCAGGAGCGAAAGCGUGGGGAGCGAUCCGG
rnacentral:rRNA from 1 species